rnacentral:lncRNA from 10 species
CAAGCAAUCCUUCCACCUCAGUCUCUGAAGUAGCUGGGACUACAAGUGUGCAACACUAUGCCUGGCUAAUUUUGUUUGUUAUAGACACAGGGGUCUCACUCUGUUGUCCAGGCUGAUUUUGAAUUCCUGGGUUCAAGUGAUCCUCCCCCAGUGCUGGGAUUACAGAUGUGAGCCACCAUACCCAGCCUCCAAUGCACAUCCUGGUGAAUUUUUACAUUCAUAUUGUGAGGGGUGAGUGAACGGUGGGCUUUGGGUGGGGGGUCAGAAACUCCCCAGCACCCCUAGUUCACCCUCACAGGGCUGAGCUUACUUCUGCAGGCAGAGCAAAUCCCCCAGGCGGACUUUGCCGUUUGCAAUCAGCAGUCAUUAAUUAGUGUGUUUAGGUGAACACAGCUGUUGUGAUCAGGGCCUCUGCAGUAUCCACUAAUUUAUUUUUAUUUUAUAUUUUUUUGAGAUGGAGUCUCGGUCUUGUUGCCCAGGCUGGAGUGCAAAGGUGCCAUCUCGGCUCACUGCAACCUCCACCUCCUGAGUUCAAGCAAUUCUCCUGCCUCAACGUCCCGAGUAGCUGGGAUUACAGGCACCCUUCACCACGUCUAGCUAAUUUUUGUAUUUUUAGUGGAGAUGGGGUUUCACCAUGUUGGCCAGGCUAGUCUCGAACUCCUGACCUCAGGUGAUCUGCCUACUUCAGCCUUCCAAAGUGUUGAGAUUAUAGGCGUGAGCCAUGGCGCCCGGCUGUAUCCACUAAUUUAACAGUGACUGACUUAUUUUCCAGGGCGUCCCACUGUUCUCAGGACACGCCCCUCAAUGUGGCCCUCACAGCUCAUGCUGAGGUUUGAAGGUGCCCCUUCCAAAAUUCACAUGUUGGGACUUAAUGGCCAAUGUGAUGGGUAUUAACAGGUGGAGCAGGUAGGAGGUGAUUGGGGCCUGAGGACACCUUCCUGGUGAAUGAGAUUAAGGCCCUCAUAAAAGAAGCACUGAGAACGGUCGGCUCUUUUUGCCCUUCCACCCUGUGAGGACAAAGCGUUCUUCCUCUCCAGAGGAUGCGGCAACCAGGUCCCGUCCUGAAGCAGACCUCAGCCGUCACGAGCGACUGACCUGCCGGCACCUUGAUCUUGGACUACCUGACAUGCAGAACCAAAAUCCAGCCUUGCGGUAUCCGAGACACUCAGCCUGGAGCCUGGUAUACAGUAGGUGCUCAAGCAGAGAAACUCAGGAGGGGAGUGAAGCGCGGCCUAAAUCACGUGGCUCAGCCCAUUGCAUAUUUCCUGCUGUUUUCCACGUCCCCCGGGGGACCCACUGGCCCUCUACUCAGGACGCCAGGAAUUGAAAGUAAGUGUUCCCUCCACAAGUUUCCCCCAUCUACGUUCAUCUUCUGCACGGGCUAAUUUUAUUAAAGUUCCUCAAAGAGAGAAUUGUAAAUUCAUUAGCACGCAUGUUAGACCAGACCUUCCUUUACGCCGGGUAGAAAAAGAUUAGGAGUCAGCUGAGCCCGAUGAUAAUGAAACAGAAGAUGCUAAAACAUCAUUCUUAAUUAAACUGUAAUGAGAUAAGAAGUUGUCGCCGGCUUGUGGGCCUGGCUUGAGUCGCUCAUGUUCCCAUCGUAAAUCUAUGAUUUAUGGUUCUCCUCCCUCACAGAUGUAAUUAGUUUUUUCCCCCUCUAAACAAAAAAUCCUAAACACUACUUCGAUUAUAUAUAUGUAUAAAAAGCCUGGACCACAAUUGGAGGUUGUUUUUAUCUAGCUGGAAUAAUAACUUCAAUUAGGAAAAAAAAUAAAUGCUGGAGGUUGAAAGAGGGAGAAUUCAAGAGGAGGAGAUGAAGGAAAGUUGGGGGGAAGUGCCCAGUUCCGUCCUGGCCCAGACUCUUGGACUCUGCCCAGGUGGUGCUUCUGCCAGGAUAGCCCUUGGUCAUUUUAGGGAUCUGCGGACAUUUUUCACUGUGGAAACCUUCCCCAGAUCCCUGUGUCUCCCUGAGCCUCAUAGCUGGUUUGUGGCAGGUUUUGUAUCAUGGUAGAUCUCGCAGCUGCAUGCUUCAAGAAUAUUUGGGGUCUAGGCUGGGUAUGGUGGCUCACGCCUGUUAUUCCAACACUUUGAGAGGCCAGAGCAGGAAAUUUGCUUAAGGCCAUGGGUUCGAGACCAGCCUGGUUAACAUAGCGAGACC